ACAAUGAUACUUCCGUAAUUCGCGGCCCGGCCACAAGGAAGGCGGGGAGGUCCGAUUCCUAUGG
rnacentral:ncRNA from 1 species